rnacentral:tRNA from 1 species
GCCAUCUUAGCUCAGCUGGUAGAGCAACGCACUUGUAAUGCGUAGGUCCCCGGUUCAAAUCCGGGAGAUGGCUCCA